UCUCCUCCUAGUGUCCCCUGAGCUGAACUUAACAAAAAGACAGUUAGCAAGGGCACCUACAAGUGGAAUUUGCAGAGUCCCAGCCCCAGCAUCAGAAAGCAGGGUAAAGAAGGGCAGAGUUUUUGGCGGACACAACAUCUUUGUAUGUGGUGCUGAGGAUCGAACCCGGGCCGCAUGCAUGCCAGCUGAGGAGAGCAGAACCUUGUAAUUGCCUGUUUCGAUGAAUAACGGGGAUGGUGAGGAAGUCCUACCACUUUCUCAGCAAACCAGUCUUCUAAUGCCACCCAUCGUACGCCUCAAGUUCAUCUGUCUCAGUUCUGAGUUGACGCCAAGCACAGUAACUUCAUGAACAAACCGUGUCACAUACUCAGACCUCAAGUCUAUGUUCCUCAACUAAACAAAGUGACCUUAAAUUCAUAAGUUCCCACCAUGAUAUAUUGCCAUUCAAUAUCUCACCAGAGGCCAAACCCAUGGACUACCUGAACUUGGGCUUCAAAGUUUUAAAAUGUUCUGAACCGUUUAAAAUAAGAGAGGACUGUGGCUGUGGAGAUCAAAAUGACAGAGCCAUCUUAGAGGGCCCAGCCUAGGCUCAUGGAAACAUUGGACUUCUUUUUCCUGCUGACCAGAAUCAGAUGACUUGACACCCCUUCCUCGACAGUGGUGGCCUCCUGAGGAACUGAGCCUCCCCAGAAAAAUUUAACAGCCAAGUGGAAUGUGUGCUGGUGUCAGCAGCUGGGCCCAAAGGAAAAGAAAAAGAGAAGCAAAGAAAAGGCAGUUUGGGGACCAGACAGCAGGAGUGACAUAAGCCAUGGGUCAGCUUGAACUCCUGAAGAGCAGCCCUGGUCACAUUGUCGCUGACUUGCCCACAUCUCCAGUGUCUCCCCACACCUGACGACAGAAAGUCCUCCUCUGUGGAAACCAACCUUCUCAGGCGUGUUUCCCUCGCCUCUCACACACACCCGGUCCCCCAUUCGCCAGGUUCGUGGCCAUCCUUCAACCGCACACAGCCUGACCUCUUCUCUUCUUUGCUCACACUGUAAUUCCCUCCCCUGCGAUGCCCUCUCCGCUGUCCCAACACCAACCUUUCCUUCUUCCAAUGAAGAAAGUAUCACUUCUUCUGCAAUCAGGCUUUUGCUCAUCCCUAAGAUUCAAGUGAUUUUUAAAAAAUUCUUUUAAAUGACUAUUUGUUCUCGAGGCAAGCAUUAAAGGCCAAGAUUUAAGCCCA